CAGGCUUAACACAUGCAAGCCGAGGGGCAUCGGGUAGAAAGCUUGCUUUCUUUGCCGGCGACCGGCGCACGGGUGAGUAACACGUAUCCAACCUGCCCUUUACUCGGGGAUAGCCUUUCGAAAGAAAGAUUAAUACCCGAUAGUAUAAUGAUUCCGCAUGGUUUCAUUAUUAAAGGAUUCCGGUAAAGGAUGGGGAUGCGUUCCAUUAGGUUGUUGGUGAGGUAACGGCUCACCAAGCCUUCGAUGGAUAGGGGUUCUGAGAGGAAGGUCCCCCACAUUGGAACUGAGACACGGUCCAAACUCCUACGGGAGGCAGCAGUGAGGAAUAUUGGUCAAUGGGCGCUAGCCUGAACCAGCCAAGUAGCGUGAAGGAUGAAGGCUCUAUGGGUCGUAAACUUCUUUUAUAUAAGAAUAAAGUGCAGUAUGUAUACUGUUUUGUAUGUAUUAUAUGAAUAAGGAUCGGCUAACUCCGUGCCAGCAGCCGCGGUAAUACGGAGGAUCCGAGCGUUAUCCGGAUUUAUUGGGUUUAAAGGGAGCGUAGGUGGACUGGUAAGUCAGUUGUGAAAGUUUGCGGCUCAACCGUAAAAUUGCAGUUGAUACUGUCAGUCUUGAGUACAGUAGAGGUGGGCGGAAUUCGUGGUGUAGCGGUGAAAUGCUUAGAUAUCACGAAGAACUCCGAUUGCGAAGGCAGCUCACUGGACUGCAACUGACACUGAUGCUCGAAAGUGUGGGGAUCAAACAGGAUUAGAUACCCUGGUAGUCCACACAGUAAACGAUGAAUACUCGCUGUUUGCGAUAUACAGUAAGCGGCCAAGCGAAAGCAUUAAGUAUUCCACCUGGGGAGUACGCCGGCAACGGUGAAACUCAAAGGAAUUGACGGGGGCCCGCACAAGCGGAGGAACAUGUGGUUUAAUUCGAUGAUACGCGAGGAACCUUACCCGGGCUUAAAUUGCAGUGGAAUGAUGUGGAAACAUGUCAGUGAGCAAUCACCGCUGUGAAGGUGCUGCAUGGUUGUCGUCAGCUCGUGCCGUGAGGUGUCGGCUUAAGUGCCAUAACGAGCGCAACCCUUAUCUUCAGUUACUAACAGGUCAUGCUGAGGACUCUGGAGAGACUGCCGUCGUAAGAUGUGAGGAAGGUGGGGAUGACGUCAAAUCAGCACGGCCCUUACGUCCGGGGCUACACACGUGUUACAAUGGGGGGUACAGAAGGCAGCUAGCGGGUGACCGUAUGCUAAUCCCAAAAUCCUCUCUCAGUUCGGAUCGAAGUCUGCAACCCGACUUCGUGAAGCUGGAUUCGCUAGUAAUCGCGCAUCAGCCACGGCGCGGUGAAUACGUUCCCGGGCCUUGUACACACCGCCCGUCAAGCCAUGGGAGCCGGGGGUACCUGAAGUACGUAACCGCAAGGAUCGUCCUAGGGUAAAACUGGUGACUGGGGCUAA
rnacentral:rRNA from 1 species